GAUGAACGCUGGCGGCGUGCCUAAUACAUGCAAGUCGAGCGAACAGACGAGGAGCUUGCUCCUCUGACGUUAGCGGCGGACGGGUGAGUAACACGUGGAUAACCUACCUAUAAGACUGGGAUAACUUCGGGAAACCGGAGCUAAUACCGGAUAAUAUAUUGAACCGCAUGGUUCAAUAGUGAAAGACGGUUUUGCUGUCACUUAUAGAUGGAUCCGCGCCGCAUUAGCUAGUUGGUAAGGUAACGGCUUACCAAGGCAACGAUGCGUAGCCGACCUGAGAGGGUGAUCGGCCACACUGGAACUGAGACACGGGCCAGACUCCGACGGGAGGCAGCAGUAGGGAAUCUUCCGCAAGGGGCGAAAGCCUGACGGAGCAACGCCGCGUGAGUGAUGAAGGUCUUCGGAUCGUAAAACUCUGUUAUUAGGGAAGAACAAAUGUGUAAGUAACUAUGCACGUCUUGACGGGACCUAAUCAGAAAGCCACGGCUAACUACGU
rnacentral:rRNA from 1 species